GUGAGUAACACGUGAGUAACCUGCCCUUGACUUCGGGAUAACUCCGGGAAACCGGGGCUAAUACCGGAUAUGAGCCGUCCUCGCAUGGGGGUGGUUGGAAAGUUUUUCGGUCAGGGAUGGGCUCGCGGCCUAUCAGCUUGUUGGUGGGGUGAUGGCCUACCAAGGCGACGACGGGUAGCCGGCCUGAGAGGGCGACCGGCCACACUGGGACUGAGACACGGCCCAGACUCCUACGGGAGGCAGCAGUGGGGAAUAUUGCACAAUGGGCGCAAGCCUGAUGCAGCGACGCCGCGUGAGGGAUGAAGGCCUUCGGGUUGUAAACCUCUUUCAGCAGGGAAGAAGCGCAAGUGACGGUACCUGCAGAAGAAGCGCCGGCUAACUACGUGCCAGCAGCCGCGGUAAUACGUAGGGCGCAAGCGUUGUCCGGAAUUAUUGGGCGUAAAGAGCUCGUAGGCGGUUUGUCGCGUCUGGUGUGAAAACUCGAGGCUCAACCUCGAGCUUGCAUCGGGUACGGGCAGACUAGAGUGCGGUAGGGGAGACUGGAAUUCCUGGUGUAGCGGUGGAAUGCGCAGAUAUCAGGAGGAACACCGAUGGCGAAGGCAGGUCUCUGGGCCGCAACUGACGCUGAGGAGCGAAAGCAUGGGGAGCGAACAGGAUUAGAUAC
rnacentral:rRNA from 1 species